rnacentral:rRNA from 2 species
UACGUAGGGUCCGAGCGUUGUCCGGAGUUACUGGGCGUAAAGCGCGCGCAGGCGGAGUGUCAAGUCUGGCGUGAAAGCCCCCGGCUCAACCGGGGAGGGUCGUCGGAGACUGGCAGUCUUGAGGGCGGUAGGGGCUGGUGGAAUUCCCGGUGUAGUGGUGAAAUGCGUAGAGAUCGGGAGGAACACCUGUGGCGAAGGCGGCCAGCUGGGCCGACCCUGACGCUGAGGCGCGAAGGCGUGGGGAGCGAACGGG